rnacentral:lncRNA from 1 species
CUGGCAACUGAUACUCUCAAUCUGGCUUGCAGACAGAAAGGCAGUGUGGAAGUGUCUUCAUGAAGGAAACCAACUUUGGAGCUGCCUGGGAAUUGGAUCAUCUUUAAGAAGAGGUUGAGUUUCUCCCUCCUUCGUGAUGCAUUGCUGAUACAGAAUCCUAAGGAGAAAGCCUCCCAAUCCAGCCCCACUCUAAAUCAGAUUAUAAAGCCUGUGAUUUAUUGAAAUUCAGUCUUGAAGCACUGAAGAUUAUUCCCCUAGUAUUGGAACAAGGUACAGAAGAAAUCAAGCUUCUCUUUUAUUCAAAAAUUCUUUGGAAAAUAUUCAUAGCUGUGCUCUUUGUGGUGGCCAAAAAUUGGAAAACGAGGGGAUGCCCAUCAAUUGGGGAAUGGCUGAACAAAUUGUGGUAUAUGUUGGUGAUGGAAUAUUAUUGUGCAAAAAGGAAUAAUAAAGUGGAGGAAUUCCAUGGAGACUGGAACAACCUCCAGGAAGUGAUGCAGAGCGAGAGGAGCAGAACCAGGAGAACAUUGUACACAGAGACAAACACACUGUGGUAUAAUUGAACGUAAUGGACUUCUCCAUUAGUGGCGGUGUAAUGUCCCUGAACAAUCUGCAGGGAUCUAGGAGAAAAAACACUAUCCAUAAGCAAAGGACAAACUGUGGGAGUAGAAACACCGAGGAAAAGCAACUGCCUGACUACAGCGGUUGAGGGGACAUGACAGAGGAGAGACUCUAAACGAACACUCUAAUGCAAAUAUUAACAACAUGGCAAUGGGUUUGAAUCAAGAACACAUGUGAUACCCAGUGGAAUCAUGUGUUGGCUACGGGGAGUGGGAGGGAGGAAAAGAAAAUGAUCUUUGUCUUUAAUGAAUAAUGCAUGGAAAUGAUCAAAUAAAAUACUAUAA